rnacentral:rRNA from 1 species
UACGAAGGGGGCUAGCGUUGCUCGGAAUCACUGGGCGUAAAGGGUGCGUAGGCGGGUCUUUAAGUCAGGGGUGAAAUCCUGGAGCUCAACUCCAGAACUGCCUUUGAUACUGAAGAUCUUGAGUUCGGGAGAGGUGAGUGGAACUGCGAGUGUAGAGGUGAAAUUCGUAGAUAUUCGCAAGAACACCAGUGGCGAAGGCGGCUCACUGGCCCGAUACUGACGCUGAGGCACGGAAAAGCGUGGGGAGCAAACAGG